GACGUGUGCAGAGUUAUGUUCCAAUGACAGUGACUGCCCCAAUGAUGAAAAUGCUGCCACAAUGGAUGUGGGCAUAACUGCAUUGCACCGGCACAGUGAAGCCCGGUCGCUGUGUCCUGCCCAACGAGACCUACAUGUGUGCCGAGUACUGUUACAAAGAUGGCCAGUGCCCCGAGGAACAGAUGUGUUUCUGGAUAUGUUGAUUCUAUGCCUGCAGUGAGCCAUUGAAGCUUUAUUGGAAAUUCUUAUUAGUUAUGAGAAAUAAGUAGAAAAUACAAAUCAUUACAUGUACAAUUAUGUCUAUGAAAACUGAUGAUUUUAUGCAAUAAUAAAUAUGAAAAAUGAUCAUA